GGAAGGCCGACCGGUCCCCAGAUUCCUCCUCUCGGCUGAGCGUCGGGCGGGAGAGAGGGCUGACUCCGCUGGGGGGCCCUGGGGGACCACCCCGGCUGGAGCACGGAUUCUACAAUCCUAGAUUUCAGAGUCCGAGGCGGCAGGGGAAGUGGCGUCAGCAGCUGGCGUGAUCCAAUUCAAUGAACCAGAGGUGGCUUGGGAGGGAAAAGUGAGCGCGCGCGGACCCCCGCCCCCGGGUCCCGCACGUCCGGCACCGUCAGGGAGCCGCUGGAAGCCCCAGCUGCGUCCCCCCUCGCCUGCUGCCAGCUGCCCUGGGCGCCGAGGGGUCGGGUUUCCUGAGGCGCCCCUCCACGCCACCCGGCUUAGCCCCAGCUCCUUCGAGCCAGCUCCCCACCCAGGUGGUGGGCUCCCAAAACCGGAGCCACCACCCCCUCCCCAGCCGCCGGAAACGCCAAGCCGGGGCUGGAGCGGGAGCACCUCCCCGAGGGGCGCUCAGCGCCGUGCUCCCUGAGGGCCGGGCGGGAGCGGCCAGGCCGCGGACACCUCUCGGCAAAGGAAACUCGAUCCCUCCUGCGGCCGGCGGGGACAGAAGGGCCUCCGCGGGCGCCGGAACCCUCCUCGGACCCGGAGCGAGGGGAGGUGCGCGAGGGCGCCCGGCGCUGCGGCAAGCGGGUCUCCCGGAGCGCUCCGAAGACACCGCCCCGGGGCGGAGACGAAGACGCGGUCCUCCCGGGACAAGAGACCAGCCUGAGAAAGGGCGGUAUAGCUUCCAGUCUCCACAACAGCCCUAUGAGAUCCCACUCACACCGCUUCCCCAAAUUAUGUCAGAGGCUAUAAAAGAUGCCACAGCCCUAUGCUGCCCUGGAGGCCAGGGCACCGCCCUGCAAGGUUUCUCAGGCACCGAAGGCUGAGCUGAGUGGAGAGAGGAGUCCUGGACGCCCUGUUGAGAAAGACAGACUGGGGGUUGCAGCAGCUGAAGAUCACAAGAGAGAAGCAGAUAUCCGAACCCUGGUCUUCCUGCACUAAAGCCCUCAGCUGAUACACCGAAGUGCGUCCCAGAAAAAGCACCAAGCACUGCACAAAUGGAAAGCAUUUUGUCAAAAUUAUGAUUAUAAACUCAUGCCCGAUUCGUGAGUUACAAAAACAAAACGUAAACAGCACAGCCUGAGUUGUUAAAGCGACUUUUUUCUAAAAGCUCAACGUGCUUUCACUUCAUGGUCUCUCUUCUCCUAAUUUUAUGAUUGUCGUUUUUCUAACUGUUCUCUAAGAGCGCUGUCUCCCAACACUCCUCGGAGGAAAGGAGGAAAUAAGCAGAAGUCAAACCGUAUUACAGUCAGUUCCCAGGGAACAGUGGGAGAUUGUGCUUCGCUGGGCUUUGGUGUUGCAAAAUAUCACUUGACAAAAAAAUUGGAAGCAACUUAGAUGGUUAUCAGCAGGAUGGAGUCAGCUAGGGGAUCAUUCUAAACAACCAUCCAGAGAUGUAGCAACAUGAAAAUAAUGCUUACAGUAUAGUUGUGAGCAAAAAGGAGAAGACAAAAAACACUGUGCAUGCACUCUGUCCUUGCAACCACUAAAAAUAAAUAUAAGUGCUCGUGAUCCAAGACUCAAAAGGACCAUGCACAAAGGAAACAGGCUUUGUUUAAGGUCGAGAGAUUAUGGCUGAUUUUUUCCUCUUAAUUUCCUAAAUAUUCUACAAUAUACUAUAUGGCCUUAAUAACUAAACACACGCAUAGCUCUAUCUUUAAACGUGGUAAUUCUUUUUUUUUUUUUUGAUGUCUAUUUAUUUUUGAGAGACAGAGACAGAGUGUGAGUGGGAGAGGGGCAGAGACAAAGGAAGACACAGAAUCGGAAGCAGGCUCCAGGCUCUGAGCUGUCAGCCCAGAGCCCCACGUGGGGCUAGAACUCACCAACUGUGAGAUUGUGACCUGAGCCGAAGUUGGAAGCUUAGCGGACAGUGCCACGGAGGCACUGAGACACCCCUAAACAUGGCAACUCUUAAUGUGAUAUCUACGUUGGAAAAACUUUUUUAAACACAAAAGCAUUGGAAGAUCUAUUGAAAUAAACAAUGCUAGUUUGAGAGUACAUAGAAAUUUAAAUGUUUUAAAUUUCAAAAACUACUAUUAACACAUAAGGUUAAAAGUUUGGAAGGACAUACUCCAAAAAUGUUAGUCACAAGUCCAAGGGGUAGGAAUGUAGGAGAUUUUUACUUUCUUCUUUAUGAUUUGCUAUAAUGUCUGAUUUUCUUUACCACGGUAGCCCAUUGUUUUCACGAUCACACACAAAACACUAAGAUCCAGUAUAACUGGGCAAAUGGCACAGAUGGACAAUUCACAAAAUCGGAGUUUCAAAUGAUCAAUUAACAGGUUUCUUAAAAAAAAAAGCGUUUAUUAAAUCAACGAAUUAUAUCAUUCCUGCCUCUACUUUCAUCAAAUCGGCGAAUGAUUUUUUAAACUACAUUACCUACAGCCAGAGAGACAGGCACUCACACUUACUGCUUCUGAGAUUAUGACAGAUAUUGGAAUUUCCAGAAAGCAGUCUUGUAAUAUGUAUUAAGAACCAUCAAAAUGUCUAUAUUCUUUAGGGCGUCUGGGUGGCUCAGUCGGUUCAGCAUCAGACUUUUUUUUUUUUAACUUUUUUUAAUGUUUAUUUAUUUUUGAGACAGAGAGAAAC